UACGUAGGGGGCAAGCGUUAUCCGGAAUCAUUGGGCGUAAAGCGCGUGUAGGCGGUUCCGUAAGUCCGCUCUGAAAGCCCAGGGCUCAACCCUGGGAGGCGGGUGGAUACUACGGAACUGGAGUACGGAAGAGGAGAUUGGAAUUCCUGGUGUAGCGGUGAAAUGCGCAGAUAUGUGGAGGAACACCAGUGGCGAAGGCGGCUUUCUGGUCUGUAACUGACGCUGAGGCGCGAAAGCGUGGGGAGCAAACAGG
rnacentral:rRNA from 1 species